rnacentral:rRNA from 1 species
UCAUAUGCUUGUCUCAAAGAUUAAGCCAUGCAUGUCUAAGUUACACUGUACUCACGGUGAAACCGCGAAUGGCUCAUUAAAUCAGUCGAUGUUUACUAGAUGAAAACUAUCCUACUUGGAUAACUGUGGCAAUUCUAGAGCUAAUACAUGCUUACCAAGCUCCGACCCUCGCGGAAAGAGCGCUUUUAUUAGUUCAAAACCAAUCGUCGUACCCUUCGCGGGGUGCGGCGUCCCGAUUGGUGACUCUGGAUAACUUUGUGCUGAUCGCAUGGCCUUUGUGCUGGCGACGCAUCUUUCAAAUGUCUGCCCUAUCAAAUGUCGAUGGUACGUGAUAUGCCUACCAUGUUUGUAACGGGUAACGGGGAAUCAGGGUUCGAUUCCGGAGAGGGAGCAUGAGAAGU